UGGCGGACGGGUGAGUAACGCGUGGGUAACCUUCCCUUUGUACUGGGGGACAACAGUUAGAAAUGACUGCUAAUACCGCAUAAGCGCACAGUAUCGCAUGAUACAGUGUGAAAAACUACCGGUGGUACAAGAUGGACCCGCGUCUGAUUAGCUAGUUGGUAAGGUAACGGCUUACCAAGGCGACGAUCAGUAGCCGACCUGAGAGGGUGACCGGCCACAUUGGGACUGAGACACGGCCCAA
rnacentral:rRNA from 1 species